AUAUAUAUAUAUAUAAGCACACACACACAAACACACACACCAUGCGCCUAACUAGCCCAUCCAGCUAGUAAUAUUAAGGCAAGAUGGCUAAAAAGUUGCUCUAUAAUUUUGUUGCAUGUUAUCCAAGAUGAAAGUAUUUUAUUGUUCAGAUAAUACUAUAUAAACGAAAAAAAUAAAGAUGUCAAGUCUCCAUUAAUAAGAAAAAUAUUGGGGUCCUAUAAAUGCAACAUUAAGGGACUGUCACAAAAAGAGGCCUGUGUGCUUCCUUAGUUGUAUAUAUAUGGAAAUAGAUAGUAAGGUCUUCAAGAAGAAUGUUGUUUUCAAUGCUGUAAUUUGAUAUAGCACCCAUGACUAUUUUAAAAACAAAUACUGAUAUAAUUUUUUGUAGUAAGUCCUUGAGUAGCAGUGGGUGAACAAGUCUUGCAGUCAGUUAGUUCUGUCAGUUUUGCAGGACUUGGAAAAAUUGAACUCACAGAUGAUGAUUUCAGACCAGAAAAAGUAUAACUCAGUUUUGAAUACUUUAGGCUGAAAUUAAAUGUGCAACUAAGUUCUGAAUAUUUUAAAGUUUAAAAAUUGGAACUCCUGAGUAUUUGAGGCUAGAAAAGGUAUAAUUUUUAAUACUUAAGGCUAGAGGUGGAACUCAAAUAUUCAAGGCUAGAGAAACUAAUUCACUUGAAUACUGAAGGCUUGAUCAGGUGGAAUAUCCAUUUGAAUAUUAAUGGUUCUUUGUAUCCUGCUGUUGAUGCUAGAUUUUACCUUCAAAACAGUAGUUCCUCUUCUCCCAUAGCUUUUUUAUUUUUAUUUAUUUAUUAUUUUUUUUUUUUAAACAUUGCCACCUAUGCCGCCUAUAGACUUCCUUGAAAGGGCCUGAUAGUUGGCCCAGCCCAUUGUGGCGUAGGCAAGUGUUUAUAGUGGUGCAAUCUUCUUUGGCUCAUGCUGUACUCUUGGAGCUCAUUGUUGACCCUCUCUUUAUUAGAGAGAUAAUCUAAAGUCUGGGUUGAUAGGUGGUCAUUUGGAUAGCAUGUGGGUAGUCUUAUGGCCCUCGGCAGGGACCGAAAAAUCCCAGCUUGUGUCACCAGGCAGUGCGCGAACCUGUGUUGUCCUGGACACAGCACUGUCAUGUUAUACACUCAGCCUCUGCAACUGCUUGACCAAUAACCUAUACAUUAGUUAUUUAAUUUGCAAUCUAAGCAAAAUUCAUCCCAAGUUUGAAUGAAUAAGAAACAUUUUAUACAUGGCUCAUGCAAAAAAUACUUUUGUUACAUCAGAAAAUUUAUAAUGUAAAACCUUGGUUUGCUUCUUUUAGUAAUGAAAAGAAAAUAGAAUGUACAGAGUCCCACUCUGCCUGGCAUGACAAAUGAAGUAGUUGGUGGUAAUGGUCAUGGUGGUAACAAAAUAUAUGAAUCUUGAGGUGCUGUUAGCACAUUCAUGCUUGUCGAGAAGUGGCUUGGAAGAGUGAAAUAUUUGAAGUUUUCCAAUAAGGAUGAGACUUGUGUAGGUGGUGAUUUAAUGUUUGAUGAGGGAAUUUAGGGUUGGCAGGUCAGUGUAUGACUCAAUAACUACUGAAAACAUAAACACUCAACAUUAUUUUAUUACUAUCUGUAAAUGGUUUUACUCAUUUAAUGUACAUUAUAUUGCUGAAGUCGGGGUUUUGAGGGAACAAUCGUUUCAUGAUUCAGGGUUUCUUUAACCCACUGUGUGGUUGUGCUCCUGCAAUCAAAGUACUCUGUAUACAAUUUUUAUGGUUACUCUACUGUACUUGUUUUGCUUUAAAGGCAAGUUUUAGCUUGGAAAGUACAGUACAUUAAAUACUGUAAAUAUUGCGUGUAAUAACUGUAAAAGCAAAUCACAGCUUAAAUUUUAUUGAGAAUAUUUUGUCAAUAUAUUCCUCUAUCAUAAUAAAACAUAAAGCCCUACUAGCUUUUCAGAAACAUUGUAAAUUUUGUUGUGAAACACACGUUACUGUAGUAAAGCACAAACGUAAUGUAAUUCUGCUUGUGCAUUGCCACGUGCCAAAGUAAUGCAGGAUGGGCUGGGCAUUUUAUGGGUGUGUCUAGGAACUUGACUGUAAAAUUACUGUCUGUUGUUACAGGAAACUGAGCAUACUGGAAAUGUGUUCAGAGAUUUUCUGUACUAAUUCUGUGGAUGUAUAGUCCUUCACCAGCCCAGAUCAUCACUGAUGCUAAAUAAUUCUUAUUUAUGCAGUGUUAUGAUGCUGGAAACUAGUGCCUGAAGUCCUAUAAUGGAAGUAGGGAUAAGGAAUAUUACCUCUUAUGAUAACUUUUAUGAUUUUUUUUUUUUUUUUUUUUUUUUUUUUUUACAAAGCCAAGUGUGAUGGAACUGUUUCCAUCACUUGCAGACAUGGAAGCGUACAUUUUACACUCUAAAUUUGAAAGAAGUGUAAUGGCAUGUGAAAAUAAUGGGUGAUGAAAGAUACGGAAGGAGGUGAAGAAAUUUGUUGAAUAAAUGACAGAUGGAAAAUCCUGCAUUGACUAGUUUUUUACCUGAAUAAAAUGUUGGUUACUUUUUUUGUGUCACUCACGGAAACUCUGUUGCCAUUCUGGGCUGAAUGACAACAUCUCAUUGGUGUGAGUGAGAAAGGCACAAACUGUGAUAUUCAUUUUUAUUUCUUAUAAUUUUCUAUAAUGUAGCUUAUUUACUGUGCUGAGCCAUAGAUUUAUUUUAAUCAUUAGACUGCUAGAAAUAUACCAGCUGUCACUUGACAUGUUCAUGUUGAGCCAACAGAGUAUCAUGAUAGGUAAAGCUGGGAGUUAUUAUGUAUACUACACACUGGCAUAGGCAACAACAACAAAUAUUUUGGACCUUCAGCAUAAGUAUUGUGGGCAGUGGGGUGGUUGGCUACAAGGUAAGCCUGCUCGUAGCUGCCAGGUGUUAUUUGGGGUCACUAACUCUAGUGGUGCAGUUAUAUGUGCUCCUUUUCAAAUAUUAGUACUGUUUUUUGCUAUUUGAGGAAACAACUUUUCCUAUACAGAUGUGAAAAGUUGGCUUGGAUAACUACUUAUUACAUCUGAAGGCCACAGUGAUACUCAAGGCGAGUGGUUUCAGUGGCUUCAUGUCAUUGCGCCGAGUACGUGCCACUGCCACUGUGACACACGGGCGGCUGUGUCCAGAAUGGAGGUUAAAGAAUGCCGAUAGGUAAAGGAAGAAUAUUUUGUUUGUUGACAUUUGGCCUGGCGGAGCAGCGGAGACUUUUGGGCCAAUCAGGAGGCGUCGCUGACCCGCCCGGCCAAUGGCGGCGGCGGGCACAGGGCGGCUGGGCGCGCGUCGCCAUGGCAACGCGUCAGCAGUGGUGCCGAGAGGAGGGAGUCCGUGAUGGUGGCGGGCGGCAAAGUGACCUAAAGAACAGUUUCCAGGCCGCCAGGAGGGGUUACAGUCAGUCAGAGUACCGUAUGAAUUGUCGAGCGAAAACUCCAUCGAGGAAUAAGUGUCGUGGGGGCAAGGAAUAAAGUUACAGUGAGUUUAUUUAAGUUUGGAAGUUUGUGUCGCCGCGGCCGUGUGCUCACCUGUCUCGGCACCUGCGGGGAGCAAGGUGCAGGUGCGCCCUCACGCCCCCACGCCCCACGGGCCGCCGCUGCCUGAGAAGGAAGAAGUUCGGGCCACGCCGCUCUACCCUCGCCCUGCACAGCCCUCCAACAGACGCACAGCCGACCUACAAACACCCCGACAGGCACCGGAGUCCCUCAGACAACACACAGGCAUCUGACCUCGCGCCACCCCCCUGACAGACAGCCUGACCUCCGCCAACAACCCAACCGCAUCAUUCAACAGACCCAGACAAACAGACAGCCCAAUUUACGCCCCUGCAGACACACAAACACACAGACUACCCCAAUAAAAUCCCCCCUGGAGCCUUUACCGUCGGACUCCUAAAGCCACAGAGACAUAAACAGAUAGACACACAUACAGUCAUUGCCGCAGGAACUUCAACUGCGUUCCCGACAGUCUUAGACACCGACAGCUAUCUACCGACAGCCCUUUACCGACAGCAGGAGGAUGAGUGAGGCGGACAUGCCGUGGUCAUACAACAACAAGAACAACAGCAACAACAUGAACAACUGGAUGAGUAACACCACCAACGGAGGAGGAGGAGGAGGA